rnacentral:rRNA from 1 species
AUUGAACGCUGGCGGCAGGCCUAACACAUGCAAGUCGAGCGGGGUUUUCGGACCUAGCGGCGGACGGGUGAGUAAUGCGUAGGAAGCUACCCGAUAGAGGGGGAUACCAGUUGGAAACGACUGUUAAUACCGCAUAAUGUCUACGGACCAAAGUGUGGGACCUUCGGGCCACAUGCUAUCGGAUGCGCCUACGUGGGAUUAGCUAGUUGGUGAGCUAAUGGCUCACCAAGGCGACGAUCCCUAGCUGGUUUGAGAGGAUGAUCAGCCACACUGGAACUGAGACACGGUCCAGACUCCUACGGGAGGCAGCAGUGGGGAAUAUUGGACGAUGGGCGCAAGCCUGAUCCAGCCAUGCCGCGUGUGUGACGAAGGCCUUCGGGUUGUAAAGCACUUUCAGUAGGGAGGAAGAGUGUUGUGUUAAUAGCACAGCAUUUUGACGUUACCUACAGAAGAAGCACCGGCUAACUCUGUGCCAGCCGCCGCGGUAAGAC